GUAGAACUACAAAUGAGUAUUGUACAGUUGGAGAAAUUUACAAUACUAACUGUACUACCCUAGCAUCCACUACAGUCGUAUCUGGAUUGUGUGACACCAAAGAACAUUGUAAUAUUCCUGUUAAUACACAAACUUUUGGAAGUGAUUCUUGUCCUGGAAUAUUCAAGUAUUUGCAGGUCGAAUAUAUUUGCAAAUAUAACAAUGACUGCAACACAUUCACAACAGUUACACCAUUACCAGGACCCUCCUGUACUUCUAAAAAAAUUUCCUGUGAAGGAGGUAGUACAGAUAUAUCCUGUCCUAAUGG